GCUCUGGUAGCUCAGUCAGGAGAGCACCGCUCUGACGUAGCGGAGGUCGCUGGUGCGAAUCCAGCUCGGAGCA
rnacentral:tRNA from 1 species